rnacentral:rRNA from 1 species
GAACGGUAACAGGUCUUCGGAUGCUGACGAGUGGCGAACGGGUGAGUAAUACAUCGGAACGUGCCCGAUCGUGGGGGAUAACGGAGCGAAAGCUUUGCUAAUACCGCAUACGAUCUACGGAUGAAAGCAGGGGACCGCAAGGCCUUGCGCGGACGGAGCGGCCGAUGGCAGAUUAGGUAGUUGGUGGGAUAAAAGCUUACCAAGCCGACGAUCUGUAGCUGGUCUGAGAGGACGACCAGCCACACUGGGACUGAGACACGGCCCAGACUCCUACGGGAGGCAGCAGUGGGGAAUUUUGGACAAUGGGCGAAAGCCUGAUCCAGCCAUGCCGCGUGCAGGAUGAAGGCCUUCGGGUUGUAAACUGCUUUUGUACGGAACGAAAAGACUCCUUCUAAUAAAGGGGGUCCAUGACGGUACCGUAAGAAUAAGCACCGGCUAACUACGUGCCAGCAGCCGCGGUAAUACGUAGGGUGCAAGCGUUAAUCGGAAUUACUGGGCGUAAAGCGUGCGCAGGCGGUUAUAUAAGACAGAUGUGAAAUCCCCGGGCUCAACCUGGGAACUGCAUUUGUGACUGUAUAGCUAGAGUACGGUAGAGGGGGAUGGAAUUCCGCGUGUAGCAGUGAAA